UCAUAGUACAAGGAAAUCACUCAAAUCGGGUCAAAUUUGGGUAUAUCACUUUGGUGGAAGAGCUUGGUAAUCAAGUUAAUUAGAGACGUGAUGGAUGAUUGCACUGCAUGUGAUAGGAUUGAGCUUGGACUUUUGUGGAUCCAUGAUUCAUUACGCUCGUUUAUGGGUUUUACCUAGGAUUGUUAGCCAUCAUUUGAUCUAUUAUUGUAAACUAUUGAUGAUGUUAUGCUCCUUGUGCCUUAUUUGAUCUGAUACUUGUAUUUGUACUCGAAUUAUAUAUGGAUUGUUCUAAUCCUUGAAUGCAUUUAGUUCACCUCUACUUAAUUUUCA